UACGGAGGGCGCAAGCGUUGUUCGGAAUCACUGGGCGUAAAGCGCGUGUAGGCGGCUUGGCAAGUCGGGUGUGAAAUCCCGAGGCUCAACCUCGGAACUGCACUCGAAACUGCUUGGCUAGAGUCCCGGAGAGGGAGGCGGAAUUCCCGGUGUAGGGGUGAAAUCCGUAGAUAUCGGGAGGAACACCAGUGGCGAAGGCGGCCUCCUGGACGGUGACUGACGCUGAGACGCGAAAGCGUGGGGAGCAAACAGG
rnacentral:rRNA from 1 species